rnacentral:rRNA from 1 species
GUGCCAGCCGCCGCGGUAAUACGGAGGGUGCAAGCGUUAUCCGGAUUCACUGGGUUUAAAGGGUGCGUAGGUGGAGUGGUAAGUCAGUGGUGAAAUCUCCAAGCUUAACUUGGAAACUGCCGUUGAUACUAUCAUUCUUGAAUAUCGUGGAGGUAAGCGGAAUAUGUCAUGUAGCGGUGAAAUGCUUAGAUAUGACAUAGAACACCGAUUGCGAAGGCAGCUUGCUACACGAUCAUUGACACUGAGGCACGAAAGCGUGGGGAUCAAACAGGAUUAGAAACCCCGGUAGUCC